GAGCGAAAAGAAAUCAAACAUGGAAAUUUCUGAAGAAAGAAGUCAGCGAGGCUGCAUCGAAAAACUCCAAAGGCAGAUCACCCAGGAAUGUGAGUUGAAUUUAGAGCAGUAAUUCUGAGGACAGAUUGUUGAAGCACUGGGUAAACUUCAAAGGAUGCAGUGAGACAUCUGUCCCAAGAGAGGUAUCAGGGAAAUGCAUAUUAUCCCCAAGAAAGCCAUUGUGGGAGAGAUUGGCCAUGGAUGUAAUGAAGGAGAAAAAAUACUUUCUGCAGGAGAAAGCUCCCAUAGAUAUGAGGUUAGUGGCCAAAACUUCAAACAUAAGUCAGGAUUAACUGAACAUCAGAAAAUUCAUAAUAUAAAUAAGACCUAUGAAUGUAAGGAAUGUGGAAAAACCUUCAACAGGAGUUCAAACCUGAUCAUACAUCAGAGAAUUCAUCCUGGAAAUAAACCAUAUGUGUGUAAUGAAUCUGGGAAAGACUCUAAUCAAAGUUCAAAUCUUAUACAUCAGAGAAUUAAUACAGGAAAGAAACCUUAUAUGUGUCAUGAAUGUGGAAAAGACUUCAAUCAGAGCUCUAAUCUGGUGAGACAUAAGCAAAUUCACAGGCGGGAAUCCCUGUAGUGCAAGAGUGUGGGAAGGCUUUUAAGGGAAGCUCAAACCUACACCCAGAGAAUCCACAGUGUGGGGAAGCCAUAUUUAUGCAAUAAAGUAGUGGGAAGGCCUUCAGUCAAAGUUCACACCUUGUCCACACAUCAGAGAAUUCACACUGAAAGAAACCCCUCAAGUGUAAUGAAUGUAGAAAAAGCCUUCAGGCAAGCAUUCUCACCUUACUGAACACAGAGACUCCACAAAAGUUGAAGGAGAGAAACCCUAUGAAUGUCACAAACGUGGGAAGACCGUCAGUGGGCACACAACUUUCCUCAAACAUCAGAGACUGCAUGCUGGAGAGAAAGUUGAAGAAUGUGAGAAAACCUUCAGCAAGGAUGAGGAGCUUACAGAAGAGCAGAGACUUCACGAGGAAGAAAAAGCUUAUUGGUGUAAGCAGUGUGGUAGGAAUUUCCAGGGCAGCUCAGACCUCAUCAGACAUCAGGUAACCCAUACAAGAGAGAAACCGUAUGAAUGUAAAGAAUGUGGGAAAACUUUCAAUCAGAGGUCAAACCUUGUGAGACAUCACAGAAUUCACAGUGGAGAAAAACCUUACAUAUGCACCAAAUGUGGGAAAUCUUUUAGGAGUAGCUCAGAUCUUAUUACACACCAUCGUGUUCAUACUGGCGAGAAACCUCAUAAAUGUAGUGAAUGUGGGAAAUCCUUCAGCCGGAGAUCACACCUUGUUACACACCAGAAAAUCCAUACUGGAGAGCAGCCCUAUCAGUGCACUGAAUGUAGGAAAGCUUUCAGGCUGAGUUCCCUCCUUAUUCAACAUCGGCGAAUUCACAGUGGUGAGAAGCCCUAUGAAUGUAGUGAAUGUGGG